rnacentral:rRNA from 1 species
AGUGAACGCUGGCGGUAGGCCUAACACAUGCAAGUCGAACGGCAGCACAGGAGAGCUUGCUCUCUGGGUGGCGAGUGGCGGACGGGUGAGGAAUACAUCGGAAUCUACUCUGUCGUGGGGGAUAACGUAGGGAAACUUACGCUAAUACCGCAUACGACCUACGGGUGAAAGCAGGGGACCUUCGGGCCUUGCGCGAUUGAAUGAGCCGAUGUCGGAUUAGCUAGUUGGCGGGGGAAAGGCCCACCAAGGCGACGUUCCGUAACUGGGCUGGGAGGAUGAUCAGCCACACUGGAACUGAGACACGGUCCAGACUCCUACGGGAGGCAGCAGUGGGGAAUAUUGGACAAUGGGCGCAAGCCUGAUCCAGCCAUACCGCGUGGGUGAAGAGGGCCUUCGGGUUGUAAAGCCCUUUUGUUGGGAAAGAAAUCCAGCUGGCUAAUACCCGGUUGGGAUGACGGUACCCAAAGAAUAAGCACCGGCUAACUUCGUGCCAGCCGCCGCGGUAA